rnacentral:lncRNA from 1 species
UCACCGUGUCCAAUACAACUACCCACCCUUAGCCCUUUUUUUGGCGUCAAAAAUCAAAUCAAAAUACAUUUCACAACAUCAGCAUAUUUUUGGAGCAAAAAAUAAAAUCAAUACACAUCACAACAUCACAACAUAACAAUACAAUACAAAUACCUAAACGCAACAGUACAAUACAACAUCACAGCAUCACAACACAACAGUACAAUAUAUACAUCACUACCAACAGAUACUCAAUAAAUUAUCAAUACAAGAUAAUCGCAACAGAAUAUCCAAAAUUAAAGCAAGUUUUGCAAAAAUAUAGAAAUAUAAUAUCACAUUCUCCUCCUAUCCCCUCGACCACGUCGCCUACCACGUCCACGACCACGAUCAACACCAUGCUCAUCAAAAGGCUCUAAGAUCUACAACUGGUCCAGAUGCUCGAUAGCAGCACCCUCAAUAACCGGCUCAAUCACAGCAGUAGCAGGUGUCGGUCGUAUGUUUGGCCAUGGAGGAGCUGAAGAGGAGGGCUGAUCUGUAUGGAUAGACCUCAUAU